GAUGAACGCUGACAGCAUGCCUAAUACAUGCAAGUCGAUGGGGAAGUGGUGCUUGUUCCAUGGCAACCAUGGCGGACGGGUGAGUAACGCGUAAGGAACUUGCCUACGGGACUGGGAUAACAGCAGUAAACUGCCGAUAAUACCGGCUAAGGUAAUUAAGCUGCAUAGCUUAGCGAUGAAAGGAGACGCCUGUGGGGUGACUUGUGUCCUAUUAGCUAGCUGGAGGGUUAACGGCCGACCAAGGCGAAGAUAGGUAGCCGGCCGGAGAGAGUGAACGGCCACAAGGGUACUGGGAGACGGACCAUACUCCUACCGGAGGCAGCAGUGAGGAAUAUUGGGCAAUGGGGGCAACCCUGAGCCAGCAAUUCGAUGUGCACAAAGACUGUUUUCGGAUUGAAAAAUGCUUUCGGCAGGGAAGAAGGAAGUGACGGAACCUGCAGAAGAAGCGACGGCUAAUUACGU
rnacentral:rRNA from 1 species